GGGUCUAUAGCUCAGCUGGUCAGAGCACACGCUUGAUAAGCGUGGGGUCGUUGGUUCAAGUCCAACUAGACCCACCA
rnacentral:tRNA from 1 species